rnacentral:sRNA from 1 species
UUCCCGCAGUUGGCGCAGGAGAAUGGGC